AAAAAGACAAACCCUGGGUUUCCGUGUCCAACGUUUGACCGUCCGUCUUAUUUAAAAAAAUUAUGAAAAAAAUUAAAAAGACAAGUCACGUAUAAAGUAUUAAUCAUGUUUUAUCAUCUAACAACAAUAAAAAUACUAAUUAUAAAAAAAUUUCAUAUAAGACGGACAGUUAAACGUUGGACACGGAAACUUAAGGUUUGUCUUUUU
rnacentral:pre_miRNA from 1 species